rnacentral:rRNA from 1 species
CCUACGGGUGGCAGCAGUGGGGAAUAUUGCACAAUGGGGGAAACCCUGAUGCAGCAACGCCGCGUGAGUGAAGAAGUAUUUCGGUAUGUAAAGCUCUAUCAGCAGGGAAGAAGAUGAUGGUACCUGACUAAGAAGCCGCGGCUAACUACGUGCCAGCAGCCGCGGGAAUACGUAGGGGGCAAGCGUUAUCCGGAUUUACUGGGUGUAAAGGGAGCGCAUACGGCAGUGCAAGUCUGGAGUGAAAGCGCGGGGCCCAACCCCGGGACUGCUGUGGAAACUGUGCGGCUAGAGUACUGGAGGGGCAGGCGGAAUUCCUAGUGUAGCGGUGAAAUGCGUAGAUAUUAGGAGGAACACCAGUGGCGAAGGCGGCCUGCUGGACAGUAACUGACGUUGAGGCUCGAAAGCGUGGGGAGCGAACAGGAUUAGAUACCCGAGUAGUC